ACUGUGAUGUUCAAAAUUUACAGUAAACACUCCACUCCACUGAAUAUUACUGAAACUUAAUAGAAUUUAACUAAGCUUUUUCAGUUUCAGAAUAUGAAAGUCAGAAAAUAAGCUUGCAAGCAAGUUUAUGUAAGUAAUGCACACUGGAGUACAAUACUUCUACGAAUUUCUGCAAAUAAUUCAUGAUUUUCUAACUACUCCAAGAUGUCCAGUUAAUUAACUGGAAAAGUAACUAAACUUGCAAAUUGAGAAAAUCUUGUCAGACCACUUGCAAUAUCUUCGGUGACAGUACAUGUUCAGAACAAACACUUACAAUAUCUACUGCAAGAACUUGUUUACUCCUGCAUAUUUGCUUGCAUGUUCAGAAUCUGCAAAUAUUCAGAAGCAUGUUCAGAAUACUUACUGAAAAGUACUGUUAAAUGUUGAAAAGUUAAAUCAUGUUCAAUCUUGUUAAAUACUCCAAGAAAAAUUACUCCGCACAAAUACAGUUCAAUCUUGUUAAAUACUCUAAGCAAAAUUACUGGAGUACUGGAGUAGUACAAUUUAAAUGUAAUCCAAGCAAAUUGAGAAGUUAACAGUACUGCUGCUAACUUGGAGUAGCUUUGACUAUGUACAGAGCAAGAUGGAGGGUCUAGCUUACUGCUGCUACUCCACAUAUCUAAUUUUACUUAACAGAGCAAGAUGGAGUAACCCAAAAAAAUUAACAGAGCAAGCAAAUGUACUCUAAAUGGCAGUUCACCAGAGAUUUUCAAGUUAAAAAUACUCCCAGGGGUAAACAACAAUGACAUGGACGAAGUACAGGAUGGAUGUUAUAAAUUAAUCCAGUAAUUCUUUUUUGUUCUCAUCUUUUUCACCCUCUAAACACUGCCUAGAGCGCUUACAAGAUGACAAAGUUAAUUUUGCAUAACACAUAUGGAUUCUUAUCUUCUUCGGUAAGGGGGGCACAUUUACAGCUAAUCUAUUAUAUUAUUAAAAAGUAACCAUGUAUAGAUGUCUCCAUACCCCAUAUGAUUUCUAGACUGCCAUGCAAAGCAAUGAGUUGAGUCCAAUUCCUACACGGCAAUGUACCUGUAAAAAAAAGAAAACUACGCCUAUCUAUGACAUACGUUCCCAAACAGCCUACCAAAGCGAGGCAAACAAGCUGUGGAUCCUAAUUAUAAUGGCCGAGAACUAACAAAAUUUUCUCACGUAAUAUGUGAAACACGCACAUAUUCGUUUGCACAUCCAAAGUGUGUCACGUACUGGAGAUGCCUCUGACCGAGAAGUGCAAGUUAGAAUCACGUAUGGAAGGACACUUCCAUCAGCAUGUUUGCUAUUCAAAAAAAAUCAUCACGCUUGUUGUACUGACACACAAUCAGUUUCCAAUUAUAUCUCAAAACCAAUCAACACAAGCUAGCCACGCUACACAUCCCAGCUAAUUGCAACUUGGCGUUGUAAGCAAUAAUCGGCAAGCCUUUGCUCUGCCUCAGGCCUCAGUCGACAGAACAAAACAAGGCAGGAGAUACUGCAGAAAGCAAAGCUGCCUUGCGGUUUUAAACAAAUUACUAUCACGAACAGGAUGGAGUCGCCUCAAAACAGAUGCCAUUAUUGGCACACUGAUUAAUAAGAAUGGAAGCAGCAGGUGGAGAAAUCAAUUUUUGUAACUUGUUUCUCCUAACUUGCAAUACUGCAAUAUGGCAUCAUGUCAACUAUUUACAUAAAUGAAAGAGAAAUAGACAGAUUAUGCAGCUACCCUACUAAUGUGCAGGAAAGAAGUGGUGACUGAAUAAUGUGUUGCACUACACAUGCUAGUUUGCAGAACAGUCCCACGCCUAUUACAUUACUAGAGCAAGUUCAUUACUAGAGCCUCUGCUUGGAGAUAAAAAAAUGAGCAGAUUGUAAUGUAUUUGAAUCAAGAUCCUUUCAGAAACUAGCUAGUAUGAAGAGGAAAAUCAAGCAAAACUGUCACAGGUCUUGAGCGCUUCAGAUCCUAGUGGCUGGCUACUUUAACAGUAUUUAUUACAAGUAAAAAAACACAGCAGAAAUCCUAGACAGUGAAGAACAUAUUCAGCACGCACGCUGAUUAAUCACUUGACACACAAUGCAAUGCAAUGCAACGCAAGCAGCAGGUAGCUAGAAGUUAACAAGACAAUAAAUAAAUCCUUGACAGUGGAGAACGUAUUCAGCACGCACGCUCGCUGAUUAAUCACUUAUGCAAAAUGAAUAGAUAUCCCCUUUCUCCAUGGAGAGGGCGGACCCGAGAGCUUGGAAUAGAUCCCUGAUUGAAUGAACAACGCAAUACAGAGCCAGGGCAGGGAGCUGGAGACAAACGGUGUAGCGACCCGACCCGAAUGGAUCAAGUCUCUGUGCUUAAGUGUCAUCCCUGGAUCGGUAUGCUGACACACACAGUACUCGAGGAUUUAUAACAGAGGUAAAUCACAUGUAUAAAGUAACGUAAAUACUAUUACCUCAAUCCAAAUAGCGGAAGUAACAAGGUUGUGGAUUCCCAUCAACACCAACGGCAAAGUUGAGUGUAGAAAUCGUAACCCUAGCGAAUCACUUACUCGUCGUAAGAUAUCCUGCAACAUGAAACGUUGCAGCCCGAAAACGGGUCAGUACAUUGAAUGUACUGGCAAAUUCACGCCAUAGAGAAAUGAUGAACAAAGGCUAUCACUACAUGCAUAUAUGGCUGGUGGAAAAGCUCUAUGGUUAUAAUGUUUUUGCGAAAAGCCAGUUUUUCCCUACUGCAAAGGAAUAAAUUUUAUUUAACUAUCAUGGUGGUUGUGAAACAUUGAGAUGGUUGACAGCAUCUCUAUCCCAAUUAAGUAUCAUCAUUAACCCAACAAUAUUAAUUAAAGUAACAUGAUGAGAUCAACGGGAUAAUCCAAGAACUAGAUACUCAAGAUGUCCAUAACCGGGGACACGGCUAAUCAUGAUUAGUUUAUACACUCUGCAGAGGUUUGUGCACUUUUCCCCACAAGACUCGAUCUCCUCCGUUGGAUUUCUCGCACUACAAGGUGUUUGAGAAACAGAUGACCGAGACACAGUCUUUCAGAAGCGUUAGCACCUUACGAUGGGUAGACCGGUACACCUACAGCCCCUACAUCUGCUAGUCUACCACUGUAAGAGUUCACACGACUUAAUCAACUAUGCUAGAGCCCAUAAUAGCUUGUGGCUGCACACGGAAGUUUCUAGCAUGAAUAAUCUCAUGAUCCCUUUGAACCUGGGUGGCGGUCCAAAAGAAAAACAGACAAUCCUGGAAUACCCAGGUACCUCAAUCCACCCAGAUGUGUGUUUAAGUUGCCACCUUAAGUAAACCAUUAAAUUAACAAUCUCACAUCUGUCAUGGAAAAUUCACUCAAACCCAAUCCACGUCUACGAGCAUAGCAUAGCAAUAUAAGAAAACGUAGAAGUAACUCCCAAGGGUUUGAUAGUAAACAGGGCAAUAGCUACUACCUCAUAUACUACUUCCCAAUACCCACAUGUUAUCAAUCCUACUCAUGCAAUGUUUGAGGGUUGAAUCUAAUGCAUAAAAACUGGGUAUGAAAGGGGUAUGAUCAAAGUGUGAACUUGCCUGCAAUGUUGAUGAAGAUGAUUCGCACUCAAAACUCUUGAUAGAUCUACUCGUCACACUGCAGUCAAUCUAUCGUAAGCAAGCAAUAGUAACCACACAUAAGCAAUCACUCAAAAGGUCGAAAAGAGCGAAGAGGAUAGUUCGAAAAACAUCAAACAAAGCAAAUAACUCUUGCGACAUAAAAAAAUUUCCAAAAGUACCAAAAUUAUGUAAAUUUGGCCUUAUCAGAAAGUUUAGGUCAAGGGCUUCGAAUUGCAAAAAGAAUCAACUCAAACGGAGUUAUAAAACUCAAGUUAUGAUCAAAAGAAGAUUCAAAUUCAAAUCUGUUUGAAAGCAAAUUUUAAAUUUUCAAAAACAUGUUUAAGUUGUUUUACCGGAUAGAGUGGAUCAUAACGAAGACGUGGGCGUUGGUUUCGUUGGAUUUGGACAAACGAGUAAAAAGAUGUGAAGGUUUGAAGUCCAGGGGCUAAAUUGUAAAUAAAACAUCUACAAAGAAGUCCCUGAAUAAAACUAACAGAAAAAAAAUAAAAGAACUAAAUAACGAACGUUCGCUACCGAACGCUAACGAACGAAAACGUUCGUCGAAACUAUCUAAACAGAAAACGUUCGCUAAAUAAUAAACCAAAACAAAAUCUAGGGUUUUUUUUAAACCGAAAAAUAAACCGAAUCGUACAGGGGCGGUUUUAUACCGUCGGUGGUUCGGCGGUUUUUGGCGACAAAACCGGCAGCGGUGUUGAUUCCGGCGACGGUUGACGAGUGCGGCGGGCUCCGGCGCGGCAGCAGGUAGCAGCGGCGGUUCCAGGCGCGGGCGGCGGCGGCAGCUNNNNNNNNNNNNNNNNNNNNNNNNNNNNNNNNNNNNNNNNNNNNNNNNNNNNNNNNNNNNNNNNNNNNNNNNNNNNNNNNNNNNNNNNNNNNNNNNNNNNNNNNNNNNNNNNNNNNNNNNNNNNNNNNNNNNNNNNNNNNNNNNNNNNNNNNNNNNNNNNNNNNNNNNNNNNNNNNNNNNNNNNNNNNNNNNNNNNNNNNNNNNNNNNNNNNNNNNNNNNNNNNNNNNNNNNNNNNNNNNNNNNNNNNNNNNNNNNNNNNNNNNNNNNNNNNNNNNNNNNNNNNNNNNNNNNNNNNNNNNNNNNNNNNNNNNNNNNNNNNNNNNNNNNNNNNNNNNNNNNNNNNNNNNNNNNGGUGGCGGAUCUCGUCGGUGGCGGCGGCGGUUGGCGAGUGCGGCGGCGGCGGCGCGGCGAUCUGCGGCAGCGGCGCGGCAGGGGAGGAGGAGAGGAGGGGCGGCGGGGCUGCGGCUUUAUAGGAGGGCGGGGCGGGCUCCGAGGCGUGGAGGAGGGGUUGGAGGAGGAGUCCUCCUCGACCACGGCGGCGGCGGCGACGUACGCCGGCUGGAGUGCGAGCGGAGCUCGGGGACGAGCGCGAGCGCGCUGGGCUGGGCUGGCUUGGCCCGGUUGGCUGGGCCGGCCCAGUUCGGCGGUUUCCUUUUGUUUUUUUUAAACAGAGGGAAAAAAACGAAAAUAAAAUAAAAUAUUAUAUAGGCAUAUAAUAUAUCAAAAUCUUCAGAAAAAGAUUUUCUACAACGUGAACAUUUUUCCAACGCCAAAUAAAAUCCACACAAAUUUUAAUAAAUCAAACAGUGCUACUGCCUUAAUAAAAUCCAAUAAAAAUCAUUUUAAAAAAUACCAAAAUGAUUUCAAAUUUAUUUUUCUCCAAUUUUCUGAUGUAGGGAAUCAUGUUACCCUAUUUUCUGUAUAUUUUAUUUUUUGGAGAAAAAUAAUUUGAAUAAAACUCAAAUAAGUCCAAUAUUGGAAAAUAAUUUCAAUGGGACUUUGAAUUUAAUCCUUUGAAACUCCCAACUCCUAUUUCAUAUGUUUUGAAGAAGUCAUUUUAUCUUCUCUCGUGAAAAUCAUUGAGUUGCAUAAAGUUUCAGAAAUGGAAAAAUAUUUUCAAUUGAAAUUCAAAUAUUUUGAACACCCCCUUUCAUUUAAAUAAAUGGAAGAAGUCAUGUCAUCUUCUCUCGAGGGUUUUGUGAUGAAAAGAAUUUGAAUUCAUGGGAAUCAUAAAAGUAUAAUGAAAGUUUGGGAAGUCCUUUUAUUCCCUCUCAUUUAACUUUCAAAAGAUUUCGAAUUCCACUCACUUUCAGUCAAUCAAUCAAACAAUCAAUCCAAUCUAUCUGUUUAUUAUAACAUUCCAAAAUUUAGAAUUUUGGGAUGUUACAAACCUACCACCCUUAAAAUGAAUCUCGUCCUCUAGAUUCGGAGAGGCUAGAAAGAAAGAGGUUAGGGUUUGGGGUCUUCUCAAAAUCCAUUGAUCAUCACAGGGGGUCUGGGGUGCUACCACCCUUAGAAACAUUGUUACGGUUCCACCAAAACUCGUAUACUCCAUCCUUGUUGUUGACAGUGUCAGUCUUCUCAGAUUCUCGGAAAAAUUCCUUCUCUGGCUCUUUGGGUAGCGGCAUAACCUUUUCCUCAAUUCUUCUGUCUUUCAUCUUAGUAAGGUUAUUCCGAGACUAGGUCUUCACAGCUGACGGGUCUGGCGCCAAUAGUAAACAACUAUCGACAUCUCAUGGUGGUCAACAAUUUACGGUUUCUCCUGCAGGAAAAUGGGUCUGGUUGAUCUUCACCGUAUAACCUACGAUUGGCAUCAACUACCGUGUACAAGGGAAACAUUCUUAUACCAUUCUAAGGUUCAAACAAGGUUUAAAUCGUCGUCACUCUACUAUAGGUAAGUCACUCAGAUUUACCAUCCCAUAUAGCAAAGCGAACAAUAAGAGUAAGUCGGUAUGGUGAUCAAUCCAUCCCGCACCCAAAUCAUUACCUUGUACAUGGUUUAGCGAAUCUCGCAUUCUAACACUCGGUCAUCCUCACAAGCAUUGCAGAAUUUCUCUUGUCAACGAACUAGGUUCGGAUAAAUCCAUGGAUUCUGCAAGCCAAACAAACAUCUAUCGUUCCUUCACAACUCUCAGGUUUUGCGUUACUCCUAUAAAAUCGUCUGUCGAUAAAAUCGUAACUUCUUCCAGGGUCUUCCCUUCAACAAGAGUGUGCUUGCUUCUUGGCAGGUCCUGGGGCCUGCGGGUUAUGGCCCAUCUCAUCACUUGUAGUUCCUUGAACUUAUCAUCGGGCAACUGAUCCUUAAUCCAACAUCCAACUUCCUGGUAUUCUUAAAUCCAUCCAAUUGUACUGUCUUCCUUCCUUCUAUUGGCACCACUAGGACAUGAUUACUCAGGCUCAUCAUGGAAUUUCCAUUGAUCCAUAAUUCCAACAUCAUACCUCCUUUAUAUCCCAUAGUACUCUUCAUCCUCGUGGGAUAUCCCACAUACCGAGAUAAAAAAACACUUAUACUUAUGAAGUCCAUACUCCACUUCGUGGAACAUCAUUAUCCUUUCCAAGGUCAAGCGUCCUUACAGGGGAAUAUUGGCCAUCUCUGCAUGGCACUUCUUCAACUAGAAAACGUGAAACACAUCAUGAACUCAUGACAGUCCUUCGGGUGACUCCAACUUGUUGGCCACUUCUCCCAUACGUUCCAAAACUCGGUAUGGUCCUACAAUUCUCGGGGCUAACUUUCCCUUAACUCCAAAUAGUUUAACUCCUCGCAGGGGGCACACACGAAGACAUGCUCUGUCUCCAAUUUUAUAGACUACCUCCUUUACACCCAAUAAUACUCCAUACCCUCAUAUUCUUGGGGUAUCCAACAUAUCGAGAUAAAACUCAUACUUAUUUUGUUCUAAAUCCACUUCGUGGAAUAUCAUUACCUUUUUCCAAGGGUCAAGUUUCCUCACGGGGUACUACCACCUUUAAAAUGCAUAAUCUUCCAUAGACCAUAUUUCUCAUAUCCUUGAAAAUGGUCAAAAUCUUUCUUCAUAAAGUAACAACUCAUAAAAUCCAAAUCAGUAUCAAUGAUGCUAACUUUAUUGAUUCUCAAAUAUUACAAUCUCCUUCAUUCCAUUACAUGCCCCAAUCCGACACCUCACUAAUAAAAUAAAUGUCCACACUACUACUACUAUAUUUCUCGUUGCACUCAACCAUUUAUCACAAGUCUCCGUCUCCUUGGGGCAUUCUCUGGAAAGUGCCCUGCUUCAUCACAACGGAAACAUAUUACUUCUGACAUAUCUCCAGGUUUCCUUGUGAUUAUAUAGCCUCUUGGGGUCCUCAUCUUCCCUUUUGGGCAAUCAUUGUGGUAGUGUCCUGAAUUUUAGCACUUGAAACAUGUGAUAUGACUCAGGUCUCUCUUUGUAGAAAUUGGGUUGUUCCUGAGAUCCAAUCUACUUCUCUUCCUGGACUUUUCCGUUCCAAUCAGGGCUUCUAUUUCCUGUGGGUCAUACUCUACUUCCUCUGUCGGGAAUUCUACUAAAUCCCCAUUCAGACAAUUUUGGGAGAUGUGUCCUUCUUCUCCACAUGAAUAGCAUGACUUGGUGCAGGGUUUAAUUAGUUCUUCUUUGGGUGUGUCCUCCACCUCUUCCUUCAUCACAGAUUCCUCUAAAAUUUCCAUGAGGGCUCUUUUCAUUGCUUCUUUCUUCUGCUGGACGGUCCUUUGUACCAUGGGGUAGAUGUGACACUGAGCAGGGUAGUGGGUAGUCCCUUCACACAAGAAACAAGUGAUCUGCCUAGUUGGGCAUUCUUCAGCUGGGUGACUUCCUUCACAAUUAGGGCAUUCAUCCUUGUGUUCCUUAUGGUUGUGUCCUAUUUCUCCACAAGGCUUGUAUGCACAAGGUUUCUUCAUAUCCUUUCCAUAAGGCUUCAAUUUCUGGGACACAAGACGAGAUCUUUGUAGAGUCCACUUAAAUUCUUUCCAAGUGGUUACUCCUUGCCAUCCAUUGGUGGUUUGGUACAUCCUCCACCAAGUAGCAGCACCUCUUUCAAAACAUUCAAGAGCAUGCCAGGUCAUAUCCUUUCCGACUAUAGGGUUAUUCUUCAUGUGAUCCUCCAUGUUCUGAAUCCAUCGGUCCGUCUCCAAUUGACUCAUCGGUCCAGAAAAUACAAGCUCAUCUCCAUUCAUCCUCUAUUGGGUCCAUGGGUUUGGGGUGGGAUAAGAGAGGUCGAGAGGGAUGCACACAAUACAAACAAUAGUUUUGAAAAGACAGAUUUUUAUUGUGGCUGUCGGAAAAACAACAAACAAAUGACAGCUCCCAAACAUCGCAUCUAACGUAGGUAUAACAGGGAUUUGGUCUUCUAAAGGUCAAUAAAUCUUCAAAGUCACCAAACUCUUGAAGUCUUGUUAAUGCCUCCAAUGGCUUCUUCCGAUCAUGCUUGUCCUUCUCAAGUUCUUUUGCCAAAUCAUCUCUGUUGACGCGAAGUCUCUCGUGACGUCCUUUAUAUUUCUGGAGUUGCGUUCCAAACUUCUGGGUUUCAACAUCCUUGACAUGAACCAUGAUCCUACUGUCCUUCAGUUCCUGACGAAUCUUUGAUGUCUCAAGGUUUUGCUCCUCUAGCUUGGCUACUUUCAGCUUCUGCAUCCUGAGUUCUUCACGAAAUGCUUCCUUAUCAAUUUCCUGCAGGUCCAUCUUAACUUCUUGAUGUAAUACUCCAGAUCCUGGUGAUACACUGGUCUAAAGUUAAAACUUCAUCUUGCUGAUAGGUGCUCCAUCAGCCUUCUACCAUCCAAUCCUUCCAUGCAUCUGCAUGCUUAACUCCGCACGGUGACAAUAGCAUAAACGGGUAAUAACACCAUGGUCAUCCGUGUCUAUGCCCAUGUUACUGCCAUGAGCUUUCAUUCCAUAACUGAUAUCUCCUGUCUUUGGGUUUUCCUUCAAAACUUUGGAUUCUUAUGCUCCAUGUUCCGGUCUUUCUCCGAUACACCUUGAUCUCAUGCAUUGACGGCUUCCAUAGUCUGCCAACUUCCAUAAGGGUAGCCAUUCCUAGGUCAUAAAAAAUCUGGGAAUUCUUCAGAGCCUUCAAAAUCUCCUAGUCUUCUGAGUCUUCAACCGUUGUAGUUUCCAUUACUAUAUUGCAUGGUAAAAUCCUCUUCAUUCCAAAAUGAUCUUAGUUGUCCGAUAUCUUGUACUUCUUGAAGUGGUCUUAUCCGCUGAAUCUUCGUGUGGUCAAAAGGGAAAAGGGAUAUGGUCUCACUAAAGGGAAUAUUUGAAUUAACUCAGAAGAGAAGAGAGGUAAAAGAUCCUUUUGAAAAAGAAAGUUUUAGAGAAAAUCCUUCCUAUGGGCUUGCCAGUUUCUAGGGUCACGUCCUACAGUCAACAUGUGCUCUGAUACCAUCUUGUAGCGACCCGACCCGAAUGGAUCAAGUCUCUGUGCUUAAGUGUCAUCCCUGGAUCGGUAUGCUGACACACACAGUACUCGAGGAUUUAUAACAGAGGUAAAUCACAUGUAUAAAGUUACGUAAAUACUAUUACCUCAAUCCAAAUAGCGGAAGUAACAAGGUUGUGGAUUCCCAUCAACACCAACGACAAAGUUGAGUGUAGAAAUCGUAACCCUAGCGAAUCACUUACUCGUCGUAAGAUAUCCUGCAACAUGAAACGUUGCAGCCCGAAAACGGGUCAGUACAUUGAAUGUACUGGCAAAUUCACGCCAUAGAGAAAUGAUGAACAAAGGCUAUCACUACAUGCAUAUAUGGCUGGUGGAAAAGCUCUAUGGUUAUAAUGUUUUUGCGAAAAGCCAGUUUUUCCCUACUGCAAAGGAAUAAAUUUUAUUUAACUAUCAUGGUGGUUGUGAAACAUUGAGAUGGUUGACAGCAUCUCUAUCCCAAUUAAGUAUCAUCAUUAACCCAACAAUAUUAAUUAAAGUAACAUGAUGAGAUCAACGGGAUAAUCCAAGAACUAGAUACUCAAGAUGUCCAUAACCGGGGACACGGCUAAUCAUGAUUAGUUUAUACACUCUGCAGAGGUUUGUGCACUUUUCCCCACAAGACUCGAUCUCCUCCGUUGGAUUUCUCGCACUACAAGGUGUUUGAGAAACGGAUGACCGAGACACAGUCUUUCAGAAGCGUUAGCACCUUACGAUGGGUAGACCGGUACACCUACAUCCCCUACAUCUGCUAGUCUACCACUGUAAGAGUUCACACGACUUAAUCAACUAUGCUAGAGCCCAUAAUAGCUUGUGGCUGCACACGGAAGUUUCUAGCAUGAAUAAUCUCAUGAUCCCUUUGAACCUGGGUGGCGGUCCAAAAGAAAAACAGACAAUCCUGGAAUACCCAGGUACCUCAAUCCACCCAGAUGUGUGUUUAAGUUGCCACCUUAAGUAAACCAUUAAAUUAACAAUCUCACAUCUGUCAUGGAAAAUUCACUCAAACCCAAUCCACGUCUACGAGCAUAGCAUAGCAAUAUAAGAAAACGUAGAAGUAACUCCCAAGGGUUUGAUAGUAAACAGGGCAAUAGGUACUACCUCAUAUACUACUUCCCAAUACCCACAUGUUAUCAAUCCUACUCAUGCAAUGUUUGAGGGUUGAAUCUAAUGCAUAAAAACUGGGUAUGAAAGGGGUAUGAUCAAAGUGUGAACUUGCCUGCAAUGUUGAUGAAGAUGAUUCGCACUCAAAACUCUUGAUAGAUCUACUCGUCACACUCCGGUCAAUCUAUCGUAAGCAAGCAAUAGUAACCACACAUAAGCAAUCACUCAAAAGGUCGAAAAGAGCGAAGAGGAUAGUUCGGAAAACAUCAAACAAAGCAAAUAACUCUUGCGACAUAAAACAAUUUCUAACAGUACCAAAAUUAUGUAAAUUUGGCCUUAUCAGAAAGUUUAGGUCAAGAGCUUCGAAUUGCAAAAAGAAUCAACUCAAACGGAGUUAUAAAACUCAAGUUAUGAUCAAAAGAAGAUUCAAAUUCAAAUCUGUUUGAAAGCAAAUUUUAAAUUUUCAAAAACAUGUUUAAGUUGUUUUACUGGAUAGAGGGGAUCAUAACGAAGACGUGGGCGUUGGUUUCGUUGGAUUUGGACAAACGAGUAAAAAGAUGUGAAGGUUUGAAGUCCAGGGGCAAAAUUGUAAAUAAAACAUCUACAAAGAAGUCCCUGAAUAAAACUAACAGAAAAAAAUAAAAAACUAAAUAACGAACGUUCGCUACCGAACGCUAACGAACGAAAACGUUCGUCGAAACUAUCCAAACAGAAAACGUUCGCUAAAUAAUAAACAAAAACAAAAUCUAGGGUUUUUUUUGAAAACCGAAAAAUAAACCGAAUCGUACAGGGGCGGUUUUAUACCGUCGGUGGUUCGGCGGUUUUUGGCGACAAAACCGGCAGCGGUGUUGACUCCGGCGACGGUUGACGAGUGCGGCGGGCUCCGGCGCGGCAGCAGGUAGCAGCGGCGGUUCCAGGCGCGGGCGGCGGCGGCAGUGACGCGGGGCGGCGNNNNNNNNNNNNNNNNNNNNNNNNNNNNNNNNNNNNNNNNNNNNNNNNNNNNNNNNNNNNNNNNNNNNNNNNNNNNNNNNNNNNNNNNNNNNNNNNNNNCGGCGGCGGCGCGGCGAUCUGCGGCAGCGGCGCGGCAGGGGAGGAGGAGAGGAGGGGCGGCGGGGCUGCGGCUUUAUAGGAGGGCGGGGGCGGGCUCCGAGGCGUGGAGGAGGGGUUGGACGAGGAGUUCUCCUCGACCACGGCGGCGGCGGCGACGUACGCCGGCUGGAGUGCGAGCGGAGCUUGGGGACGAGCGCGAGCGCGCUGGGCUGGGCUGGCUUGGCCCGGUUGGCUGGGCCGGCCCAGUUCGGCGGUUUCCUUUUGUUUUUUUUUAAACAGAGGAAAAAAACGAAAAUAAAAUAAAAUAUUAUAUAGGCAUAUAAUAUUUCAAAAUCUUCAGAAAAAGAUUUUCUACAACGUGAACAUUUUUCCAACGCCAAAUAAAAUCCACACAAAUUUUAAUAAAUCAAACAGUGCUACUGCCUUAAUAAAAUCCAAUAAAAAUCAUUUUUAAAAAUACCAAAAUGAUUUCAAAUUUAUUUUUCUCCAAUUUUCUGAUGUAGGGAAUCAUGUUACCCUAUUUUCUGUAUAUUUUAUUUUUUGGAGAAAAAUAAUUUGAAUAAAACUCAAAUAAGUCCAAUAUUGGAAAAUAAUUUCAAUGGGACUUUGAAUUUAAUCCUUUGAAACUCCCAACUCCUAUUUCAUAUGUUUUGAAGAAGUCAUUUUAUCUUCUCUCGUGAAAACAUUGAGUUGCAUAAAGUUUCAGAAAUGGAAAAAUAUUUUCAAUUGAAAUUCAAAUAUUUUCAACACCCCCUUUCAUUUAAAUAAAUGGAAGAAGUCAUGUCAUCUUCUCUCGAGGAUUUUGUGAUGAAAAGAAUUUGAAUUCAUGGGAAUCAUAAAAGUAAAAUGAAAGUUUGGGAAAGUCCUUUUAUUCCCUCUCAUUUAACUUUCAAAAGAUUUCGAAUUCCACUCACUUUCAGUCAAUCAAUCAAACAAUCAAUCCAAUCUAUCUGUUUAUUAUAACAUUCCAAAAUUUAGAAUUUUGGGAUGUUACAAACGGCCUGGCUGGUGGGCGCACUGGAGAAGAGAGCUGCUACUGCAAGCUGGAGAGACGCUGGAUAGAAGAAUUUCAAGAUCGAUCUUAACUCGCGGGAACAAGCACGGACCUAAAAUCGAUGGAGCCGGGAUAUACCUCGGGUGCCGAGCGGAGCGACACCAUGGGGUGCUGCUGGAGUCGAUUGAGCCCGACAACGAACAGAGACGACGGGAGGACACGUUGACGGAGACGGAGCUCUGUCCGCGAAGCAGACGAAGCAGGGGAGGCCAUGGCGAGGAGGCAAACGUCGGCGGCGCUUGGACUUGGGCGAGGCUUCGGCUCAGCGGCGCAGGAACGGCAAGGAGGGACUUCGCAUCGGGGCGGCGCGCUGCAAGGUCGGGGACGCGAGCGUCCAUGGCGGCGAAGUGCACUGUUUGAG
rnacentral:lncRNA from 1 species